rnacentral:lncRNA from 1 species
AGAGAUGUAGUUCCUGGUGGCAGCUUCCUGUGUGUUCCUCAGCAGCUCUUCAAGCAGGAAGAUCGUCAUGGCUUUUACUGUAGGAAUAUAUAGGAGAUGGGCAGAGAAAGGGUAUUCUGCCUGUACGUACUCUGUGGAAGCAUUAAGUGACUUGAAGCUUGCUCAGUUGAGAGGAUAUCGCAUUUUUCCCUUCAAGAGUCUUGAGGUGUUGGAAAUCAGACAGCUCACAUCAUGUCGUUCUUGGUGAGGUAUUACAUCAAGUCCUAACACAGUUUUGUUUAAAUUUAGUUGAUGAGACGCUGCCUAACCUGCUGGUUGUGCUGUGUUAAUGUUCAUUUGUUUCUUUGUGUUUAUUUUUGGUGGUUUGUUCCUGAGCGCUGGGCGAAACGUGACAAUUGCGGUUUAUUCUGGGAUAAGCUGGGCAGCAACUUUGCCUGCACGCCUUGGGCACUGCCUAAUGGAUUUUGUUACUAACUACACUUUCAGUUUUACCUUGGGAAGAGUAACUUCUCCCUUCUGUGCCAAGCUGACUCGACUAGAGUUUAGGGAUUUUGGAAAUGAUUGUUUGUAUCAAAACAUCAUUUUAUUAUCGAUUCUCCUGCAUGUGUUAGAGCGGUGUUUCAUAUUAAAUUUUGGUGCAGGAGUAGGUGCUGCAUGAUGUGCCAGCUGUCCAUGAAGUGACUAACAGAGUAUGAUAGCAGCAAAAGAAUCUCUCUUGUCCCUUCACUGUUGUGGCUGCAGAGAAAAUAACUGUGAAAAUGACUAAGAAAUCCAAGAAAUUAUUUGAAAAACUGUUUGAUAAACUGUCCAGGAUGGAGACAAGAUCCCACUUGUCCCCUGCAUGGACCCACGUUUGCAGCUGUCAGAAAAACCCUCCUAUGAGACCACCUCAAGAGAGACAAACAUGCCACGAGGUACCCUGUGGUUUCACCUCCACCAGCACAGGGAGGACACGAGGAAGUGGGAUGGAAAAUCUAGCACUGCCUUAUAGGCAUGAAUAUGCGAGCUGCAAAGUAAAACAAAUACGAGUUUUUCCAGGAGGAUGGCUGCUCCGAUCAAUGCAGCAGAGUGCAGGCCACAGAUUACUUUCACCUGGAGAGACAUCCAGUGCACCUGGAAGUGACUGCCCCAGGGGUGGAAACAUGGCCCUGCUAUUUGCCAUGGACUGA